rnacentral:rRNA from 1 species
GACGUAGGGCGCGAGCGUUGUCCGGAAUUACUGGGCGUAAAGAGCUCGUAGGUGGUUUGUCGCGUUGUCCGUGAAAACUCACAGCUCAACUGUGGGCGUGCGGGCGAUACGGGCAGACUGGAGUACUGCAGGGGAGACUGGAAUUCCUGGUGUAGCGGUGGAAUGCGCAGAUAUCAGGAGGAACACCGGUGGCGAAGGCGGGUCUCUGGGCAGUAACUGACGCUGAGGAGCGAAAGCGUGGGGAGCGAACAGG